rnacentral:rRNA from 1 species
UACGUAGGGGGCAAGCGUUGUCCGGAAUCACUGGGCGUAAAGCGUGCGUAGGCGGUUCUAUAAGUCUGAGGUGAAAGUCCAAGGCUCAACCUUGGGACUGCCUUGGAAACUGUGGGACUUGAGUGCUGGAGAGGCAAGGGGAAUUCCACGUGUAGCGGUGAAAUGCGUAGAUAUGUGGAGGAAUACCAGUGGCGAAGGCGCCUUGCUGGACAGAAACUGACGCUGAGGCACGAAAGCGUGGGGAG